rnacentral:rRNA from 1 species
GUCCUUAUGAAUUUAAUUUAAGGUUUAACCUGCCCACUGAAAUUAUUUGAAGGGCCGCAGUAAUUUGACUGUGCAAAGGUAGCAUAAUCAUUAGUUUUUUAAUUAAAAGCUUGUAUGAAGGGUUGGACGAGGUAAAUUCUGUCUCUAUUUAAUUUAGUAUAGAAUUUAAUUUUUAAGUUAAAAAGCUUAAAUUUUUUUAAAAGACGAGAAGACCCUAUAGAUCUUUAUAUUAUUAAUAUUAAUUUUAAUUAAGAAUAUUUUAUUUUUUAAUAUUUAUAAUAUUUUAUUGGGGUAAUAAAAAGAUUAAUUUAAUUCUUUUUUUAUUUUAACAUUAAUUAAUGAUUAUAUGAUCCAGUUUUAUUGAUUAAAAGAUUAAGUUACCUUAGGGAUAACAGCGUAAUUUUUUUAGAGAGUUCAUAUCGAUAAAAAAGUUUGCGACCUCGAUGUUGGAUUAAAAAUUAUCUUAGGUGCAGAAGUUUAAGAUUUUGGUCUGUUCGACCAUUAAAUUUUUACAUGAUCUGAGUUCAGACCGGUGUAAGCCAGGUCGGUUUCUAUCUUUAAUAAAAUAUAAUAUUUUAGUACGAAAGGACCAAAUAUUUAAUAUAUUUAUAUUUUAAUUUUUGAAUAU